CGGUUGGCGUACUUUGUACUCCCGUGUCUCAUUCGCCGUCUCGGGUCGGGAAGCGAAGGGCGAAACCGACCCACACGCGUGCUGGUGGGAGAGCAUGCGCGAUCGAGCGCCGAUCUCGGGAAGGCACGCCGGCUCCGGCGCCACGGCGUCCGGUGCCUUGUUCGUCGUGCCUGGUCCGCCGCGCGUUUGCCCUGGCUACCUACCUAUGUGGCUAUGUGGGCUGGCGGCGCUUUCUCACCACGUGUUCGAGGGAAUGCCACCGACAGGAGAACCGAGCGAAGGGAACGCCGGCACGCCGCAGCCUGCAACUGCAACUGCAGCAUUAGGGUUGACAGACUUCUUGGCCACCUCACACAAAUGGCUGUUCUGAAACUCUUGUGCAAAGUCUGUCACUGCAACCCUUCUUCUUCGGAUUCCAAGUCCAAUAAUACCCAUGAUGAAACUGAUAGGAUUUUGUGUCUGGAUGUACUGAGGCCCCCUUGGGAUUGCAGUGAAGUAUCCAAGUAUUUCAUGGAAGUUGAGUCCUACUGGGCCGAAGUAUGCUUGACAACCUUCUUGAGUUAGGAUGAUGACUUGAUGGAAGUAUGAAAGUGCCCGGGUGUUGGGGUGGCUAACUGUUGCAAUGACCGAUUUCCCGGGAAACCGCAAAACAAGAAGGCACAUACAUGUUGAGUUAGUUCUUGACCAGCUUGGCUUGCAGCACUAUGUCAACCAAUUGGUUGGGUCCCUGAGAGAUGGCACUAAAUUGAAGUGACUCACGUAUGGUGAGGUAUGGCUGAUGAGCAUCAAGCCGCUCUGCGUAGCCUACACUUUUUGAGAAAUCAGCAGAGGGUUUGGUGCUAUUGACUCGGAGAUAUCCAGUAAGACUGCCACCGGGAGGCAUCCUUCCUGCAAGGCACUUGAGAAGAGUGGUUGCGCUUCCAUUAGCACCCCCUACAAGAGCUAGCAUAGUUCCUGGUUUUGCAUAUCCAAUGAUAUCCUUAAAAUAUAAGGCUUCUUCCUGUUUAGCUUUCCCGCACCUGUUAUAAGAAAGCUUUGUUUUAUACGUCAUGUGAUAUGGAAUCAACCAAUUGAAGUGUAUUUUCUUCUUCGAAACUUUAUUGAUGUUAUAUCUACCUUCGUGAAGUUGCAUUUA